GGGAAUGUAGCCAAAUGGUAAGGCGAGUACUUUAACAGGUACGGAGGAUUUGCAAGUUCGAUUCUUGCCAUUCCCUCA
rnacentral:tRNA from 1 species